rnacentral:rRNA from 1 species
UACGUAGGGUGCAAGCGUUGUCCGGAAUUAUUGGGCGUAAAGGGCUCGUAGGCGGUCCGUCACGUCGGGAGUGAAAACUUGGGGCUUAACCCCAAGCCUGCUUCCGAUACGGGCGGACUAGAGGUAGGCAGGGGAGAACGGAAUUCCUGGUGUAGCGGUGAAAUGCGCAGAUAUUAGGAGGAACACCUGUGGCGAAAGCGAGUUACUGGUUCAUUACUGACACUGAGGAACGAAAGCUAGGGUAGCAAAAGGG